GUAGAAAUUAUAGCCUAAUUACCUAACACCUAAAUAUACUAAAACUAAAACAUUUAAAAACUUAAGUAUUGGAGAAAGAAAUUAAAAAUAGAGCUAUAGAAAUAGUACUGCAAAGGAAAUAUGAAAUAGAAAUGAAAUAAAUAAUAAAACAAAUAAAAGAAAAGAUUAUACCUUCUACCUUUUGCAUAAUGGUCUAGCAAGUAAAACUUAGCAAAAAGAAUAAAGUUAACCUCCCCGAAACUAAGCGAGCUACUUUAAAGCAACAUAUAAGUGUUAACCCGUCUAUGUGGCAAAAUAGUGGGAUGACUUUUAAGUAGUGGUGAAAAGCCUAACGAGCUUAGUGAUAGCUGGUUGCUCAAGAAAUGAACUUAAAUUCAACUUUAAAUAUUUUUUAAACACAAAAAGAAACAAAUAAUAUUUUUAAGCUAAUUAAUAAAGGUACAGCUUUAUUAAUAAAGGAAACAACCUAGAUAAUGAAUAAAGAUUAUAUUAUUAAAAGAAAUUAAAAUUGUUGGCCUAAAAGCAGCCAUCAGUAAUGAAAGCGUCACAGCUCAACUUAAUAAAACCUUAUUAUCCCCAUUAAACAAUCAAAAUUCAUUANNAUGUAUUGAGCCAAUCUAUAUCAUAGAUGUGCCUAUGCUAGAACUAGUAACAAGAAUUUAUCUCUAUGUACAUGUGUACAUCAGAACGAAAAACUCACUGAUAAUUAACGUUAAAAUAAUGCAAACUUAGAAAAAUAUAAAUACUUACGUUAAACCAACACAGGGGUACAAAAGAAAGAUUAAAAAUUUAAAAAGGAACUCGGCAAUCAAAGACUUCGCCUGUUUACCAAAAACAUCACCUCUUGCAUAUUAAGUAUAAGAGGCCCUGCCUGCCCAGUGACAUUAGUUUAACGGCCGCGGUAUCAUGACCGUGCAAAGGUAGCGUAAUCACCUGUCUUUUAAUUAAAGACCUGUAUGAAUGGCAAAACGAGAGUCUAACUGUCUCUUUAAAUAAAUCAGUGAAACUAAUCUCCCCGUGCAGAAGCGGGAAUGAUACCAUAAGACGAGAAGACCCUAUGGAGCUUUAAAUUUUACUUAACUAUAAUUUUAUAUUAUCCUAAGGGAAAACCUUAUACUUUUAUAUAUUAAUAAAAAUUUUAGGUUGGGGCGACCACGGAAUAAAGAAAAACUUCCGAGAUGAGAUUUAUAGAAGGACACUUCACAAAAUAGAAAAAUGUAACAUAUUGACCCAAUAAUUGAUCAACGAACCAAGUUACCCUAGGGAUAACAGCGCAAUCUUCUCCAAGAGUUCUUAUCGACGAGUAGGUUUACGACCUCGAUGUUGGAUCAGGACACCCAAAUGGUGCAGCAGCUAUUAAAGGUUCGUUUGUUCAACGAUUAAAGUCCUACGUGAUCUGAGUUCAGACCGGAGUAAUCCAGGUCAGUUUCUAUCUAUGUUUAACUUCCCCUAGUACGAAAGGGCCGGGGAAGUUGGGCCAAUGAAAUAUUAAGCCCAUAACAACUAUUGAAAACAACUAAAAUAGACUGUAGACAAUACAGCCUAAUAUAAAGGCUU
rnacentral:rRNA from 1 species